AACGAACGCUGGCGGCAUGCCUAACACAUGCAAGUCGAACGAGACCUUCGGGUCGAGGGGCUCACGUGUGCGUAACGCGUGGGAACCUGCCCUUAGGUUCGGAAUAACUCCCCGAAAUGGGUUCUAAUACCGGAUAAUGUCUUCGGACCAAAGAUUUAUCGGCUUUGGAUGGGCCCGCGUUGGAUUAGCUAGUUGGUAGGGUAAAAGCCUACCAAGGCGACGAUCCAUAGCUGGUCUGAGAGGAUGAUCAGCCACACUGGGACUGAGACACGGCCCAGACUCCUACGGGAGGCAGCAGUGGGGAAUAUUGGACAAUGGGCGAAAGUCUGAUCCAGCAAUGCCGCGUGAGUGAUGAAGGCCUUAGGGUUGUAAAGCUCUUUUAGCAGGGAUGAUAAUGACAGUACCGGGAGAAUAAGCCCCGGCUAACUACGUG
rnacentral:rRNA from 1 species